UGAAACAUAGAGGGAGAUAGAAGG
rnacentral:sRNA from 1 species